UACGUAGGACCCGAGCGUUAUCCGGAUUCACUGGGUGUAAAGGGUGUGUAGGCGGGCGUGCGCGGCCGGGGUGGAAGGGUCCGGCUCAACCGUAAACAUGCCUUGGAUACGGCACGUCUUGGGUGCGGGAGAGGACGGUGGAAUUCCCGGUGUAGCGGUGAAAUGUGUAGAUAUCAGGAGGAACACCAGUGGCGAGGGCGGCCGUCUGGCCCGCAACCGACGCUGAAACACGAAAGCGUGGGGAUCAAACAGG
rnacentral:rRNA from 1 species